UACAGAGGUCCCAAGCGUUGUUCGGAUUCACUGGGCGUAAAGGGUGCGUAGGUGGUGGACUAAGUCAGGUGUGAAAUCUCCGGGCUCAACCCGGAUGGUGCGCCCGAAACUAGUUCGCUAGAGGAUGGGAGGGGAGACUGGAAUUCUCGGUGUAGCAGUGAAAUGCGUAGAUAUCGAGAGGAACACCGGUGGCGAAGGCGAGUCUCUGGACCAUUCCUGACACUGAGGCACGAAAGCCGGGGGAGCAAACAGG
rnacentral:rRNA from 1 species